rnacentral:rRNA from 1 species
AACGAACGCUGGCGGCAGGCUUAACACAUGCAAGUCGAGCGCCCCGCAAGGGGAGCGGCAGACGGGUGAGUAACGCGUGGGAACGUACCUUUUGGUUCGGGACAACUCCGGGAAACUGGAGCUAAUACCGGAUAAGCCCUAACGGGGAAAGAUUUAUCGCCGAAAGAUCGGCCCGCGUCUGAUUAGCUAGUUGGUGAGGUAACGGCUCACCAAGGCGACGAUCAGUAGCUGGUCUGAGAGGAUGAUCAGCCACACUGGGACUGAGACACGGCCCAGACUCCUACGGGAGGCAGCAGUGGGGAAUAUUGGACAAUGGGCGCAAGCCUGAUCCAGCCAUGCCGCGUGAGUGAUGAAGGCCUUAGGGUUGUAAAGCUCUUUUGUCCGGGAAGAUAAUGACUGUACCGGAAGAAUAAGCCCCGGCUAACUUCGUG